UUUAGAUUCUGAUGAUCCAUUGUUUGGAGGCUUCAAAAGGCUUGAUAAGGAUGCUGAGUACUUCAGCUCAGUAAGAAAAUUCUCUCAAGUUUGUUACCUGAAUUUAGUUUCAUCCUCAUCCGUCUUCCACUGGGCAAUUCCUUGUAAAUAUUAGAAUAUUUGUCAACAUUUAUGUGGUGAUUGUGCAGGAAGGGUGGUAUGAUGACCGGCCUCGUUCCUUCCUGGUGUAUGCACCAAGUGGAGGAUGAAUUGGAACCUGCUGAGAGUGAAAAUGAACCUGCUGAGGGCUGAUAUUGAUCUCAACAAAACCUUUCUCGAUUUAGGAAUGGCAUCAGGCAUCUUCAAUCGACAUAGUACAUGGAGGACCAUGAUUUAAGUCAAUCCUAGUGCCAUUGCCAGCAUUUUGUCAUCCAAGCACAACCAAGA
rnacentral:lncRNA from 1 species